rnacentral:rRNA from 1 species
CCUACGGGUGGCAGCAGUGAGGAAUAUUGGUCAAUGGACGAAAGUCUGAACCAGCCAAGUAGCGUGAAGGAUGACUGCCCUAUGGGUUGUAAACUUCUUUUAUAAAGGAAUAAAACGAGGCACGUGUGCCUUUUUGCAUGUACUUUAUGAAUAAGGGUCGGCUAACUCCGUGCCAGCAGCCGCGGUAAUACGGAGGAUCCGAGCGUUAUCCGGAUUUAUUGGGUUUAAAGGGAGCGUAGAUGGGUUGUUAAGUCAGUUGUGAAAGUUUGCGGCUCAAACGUAAAAUUGCAAUUGAUACUGGCAGUCUUGAGUACAGUUGAGGUAGGCGGAAUUCGUGGUGGAGCGGUGAAAUGCUUAGAUAUCACGAAGAACCCCGAUUGCGAAGGCAGCUCACUAAACUGUGACUGACAUUGAUGCUCGAAAGUGUGGGUAUCAAACAGGAUUAGAUACCCCAGUAGUC